rnacentral:rRNA from 1 species
GACGAACGCCGGCGGCGUGCUUAACACAUGCAAGUCGAACGGAAAGGCUCCAGCUUGCUGGAGUACUCGAGUGGCGAACGGGUGAGUAACACGUGGGUAAUCUGCCCUGCACUCUGGGAUAAGCCUGGGAAACUGGGUCUAAUACUGGAUAUGACCUUUCUCCUUAUGGGGUUUGGUGGAAAGUUUUUCGGUGUAGGAUGAGCCCGCGGCCUAUCAGCUUGUUGGUGGGGUGAUGGCCUACCAAGGCGACGACGGGUAGCCGGCCUGAGAGGGUGAUCGGCCACAUUGGGACUGAGAUACGGCCCAGACUCCUACGGGGGGCAGCAGUGGGGAAUAUUGCACAAUGGGCGGAAGCCUGAUGCAGCGACGCCGCGUGAGGGAUGACGGCCUUCGGGUUGUAAACCUCUUUCAGCAGGGACGAAGCGUAAGUGACGGUACCUGCAGAAGAAGCACCGGCUAACUAUGUG